rnacentral:rRNA from 1 species
CCUACGGGAGGCAGCAGUGGGGAAUAUUGGACAAUGGGCGAAAGCCUGAUCCAGCCAUGCCGCGUGUGUGAAGAAGGUCUUCGGAUUGUAAAGCACUUUAAGUUUGGGAGGAAGGGCAGUUACCUAAUACGUAUCUGUUUUGACGUUACCGACAGAAUAAGCACCGGCUAACUCUGUGCCAGCAGGCCGCGGUAAUACAGAGGGUGCAAGCGUUUAAAUCGGAAUUACUGGGCGUAAAGCGCGCGGUAGGUGGUUUGUUAAGUUGGAUGUGAAAUCCCCGGGCUCAACCUGGGAACUGCAUUCAAAACUGACAAGCUAGAGUAUGGUAGAGGGUGGUGGAAUUUCCUGUGUAGCGGUGAAAUGCGUAGAUAUAGGAAGGAACACCAGUGGCGAAGGCGACCACCUGGACUGAUACUGACACGUGAGGUGCGAAAGUCGUGGGGAGCAAACAGGAUUAGAUACCCUGGUAGUCCACGCCGUAAACGAUGUCAACUAGCCGUUGGGAGCCUUGNGCUCUUAGUGGUCGCGAGCGUACCGACGAUUAAGUUAGUACCGCCGUCGGGUAGGUACGGACCGGCGAAGGUUAAACGUACGAAAGUAGAAGUUAGUACGGCGUGAGACGUAGACCGACGGACGACGACGAGGGAGGAGG